UACGUAGGGUCCUAGCGUUGUCCGGAAUUACUGGGCGUAAAGAGCUCGUAGGUGGUUUGUCGCGUUGUUCGUGAAAACUCACAGCUUAACUGUGGGCGUGCGGGCGAUACGGGCAGACUUGAGUACUGCAGGGGGACGUGGAAUUCCUGGUGUAGCGGUGAAAUGCGCAGAUAUCAGGAGGAACACCGAUGGCGAAGGCAGGUCUCUGGGCAUUAACUGACGCUGAGGAGCGAAAGCAUGGGGAGCGAACAGG
rnacentral:rRNA from 1 species